UUCAUUAGUUGGCCUAUCCGUUGCAAGUGCUAGAGCACCUAAUGUAUCCAUGAUGAGGUUCACCCAUAGCAGUUGAACCGUAGUCAACGGAACCUCACCGGCCGAAACUGCUGCAAUGAAGUUGAUCACGAGAGCUGCGACAUUUACGGUAAGUUGAAAUUGAAUGAAUUUUUGUAUGUUAUUGUAAACACAUCUUCCCCACCUUAAAACUGUGGCAACUGAGCUAAAAUUGUCAUCUAAGAUGACAAUGUCCGAGCUCUCCUUGGCUACCUCAGUGCCUUGAAUGCCCAUUGAAAGUCCGAUAUCGGCUUCUUUUAGUGCAGGAGCAUCAUUGGUGCCAUCCCCUGUGACCGCGACCACAUGACCUUUCUGUUUCAAGCACUGUACCAUCAAAAGCUUGUCAAAUGGUGAGGACCUUGCCAUCACCCGGAUCUUUUCUACCUUCUCCAUUCUCUCAUCAGGUGCGUAAUUUCGAAACUCGAUCCCUUCAACUACUUCUCCACUUCCUUGCUGGUAAUCUGGUCCUAGAAUUCCACAUUCUGUAGCUAUAGCUUUAGCUGUGAAAAUGUUGUCUCCAGUAAUCAUUUUGAUGCUCACCCCUGCAGAUUGGCAAGCCUGCACGGCUUUCUUGACCCCUGGCCGACAUGGAUCCUUUAAACCAACUAUCCCAAGCAAGGUUAAACCAUCUUCUUUUAUUCCACGAUUCGUCUUUCUGCUUUGAUCAUCACCAUCUUCUGUCUCUCCUUUCAAAACUUGCUUAUGAGCAAAAGCAAUGCAUCGUAGACUACUGGCUGCCAUGCUUUGGAUUAUGGUUUCGAUUCUGUCCCUUCCGUCUUCGUUCAUCGACC
rnacentral:lncRNA from 1 species